UUGGGCCCACUUAAGCUUGUAGCGUGGCCAGGUGCAAAAUAAGGGUUUUCUGCUUAGCAUUGCAUGUCGAUCGGUGUCCUUGAAUUUUAUUGCUUUGAAAAGGGAUAUGAUGCUUGACGGAAUAAUUAGCAUGGGCUUGUAGAGCCAGUGCCUUUUAUAGGCUCAUUUUAAUUCGUAGCGUGAUGGAUUGCAUAUUUAUUUGGCAUGGCACAUGGUCGUGGCUUGUGCAAGCAUUGCUCCGAAUCGGGUCUUUUCUUAAUAAGGUGUCGCACUGGGCCGUAAAUUUAUUUGGACCCAACCCUGGAUUUUUUGGGCCUCAACAUUAGCCCCCUUAUUUAUUAAGGCCAUGGAUAAGUGCUGGAAUGGGCAGAAUAAUUAAACCCGACCCAAAAAUCAAAUUCAUAAGUUCCAGCAGUUAUUUGUGCUUUCCCAGAUACCAACUUCCUUCUUCCUCUUUUUCAUUUAUUAUUUCUUCCUUCUUCUCCUUCCUCUUUACGCGCACUAGAGUAACUCUCUCCCCAUCAAAUUCAUCUUCUUUUUCCUUUUCUUCUUCCAACAAACUCAAAGCGCGAGAAAUAGAGUGAGAUCAAGAAAAACCGCCUGUCUACAGCCGCUGGAAGGGCGGUCAAGCCAAACUUGACUCCGUCAUUUCCUGCGCGAAGAAACCCACUUGCCGUUGCUGGAAGAUAUUGUCUCUGUGCAGACUUUUCUUCCAAAAUUCCCAAUUCUCUCUUUCUUGGUGCAUAUGAGGCUGUCCUUUGAGGUGAUUAAAAAGGUAUUGCCUUUCCUCUUUGCAAUUU
rnacentral:lncRNA from 1 species